rnacentral:rRNA from 1 species
AUGGGAAAGCGGCAGCACCGGGAGAAAGAUGAGGGCGGCGUCAGCGAGAGGAGGGAGGUCGCGGCGGCAGGCGCCACCAACACCAUAGACGACCUCGAGAACCUCGACAACCUUGAGUGCCUCAUCUGCUCCGAGCCCCUGCGCCCUCCUAUUUUCCAGUGCACCAUGCGCCAUACCAUAUGUUUAUCUUGCCAUGACAAGUUCCCAGACAAGUGUUUCUUCUGCUCCAAUACCACAGUCUACAAUCGCUGCCUCGAGCUAGAACAUGCAGUUGAAUCAAUCAAACUUGCUUGCUCCAAUGGCAAACACGGAUGCACUGCGAGGAUAACAUACUACCAAAAAGAAGAGCAUGAGAAAGAUUGCCCGCACGCGCCAUGCUUCUGCCCCGUAACCGGCUGCAGCUUCAAAGGGCCAACGGCAACGCUCCUCGAGCAUUUCUCACGCGAGUACAAGUGGCGUAGCACGAAAUUUAUAUAUAACGAGGCGUUUGGGGUCCGCAUCCGCGGCGAUACUCCUGGUUCAUGCAUUCUUGUGGGCGAGGAUGGGCACAUCUUCAUGAUCAAUAUGGAAAUGGAGCCCGCCGGAAUUGUCAUCUCAGUUUGCUCCAUUCAGCCUCACAUUACUGGAUCCAAGUUCAAGUGCAGGCUAUCAAUAUCAUGCAGUGAAACGGGCUACUAUCAGGCUGCCGAGUUCCAAAUGAGGAUCAUUAAUCUGUAUGAUGGGAUGCCCAAGGACUUCAUGUUCCUUGUGCCCAAGGGGUUGCUUCGACGUGCGAUAACUAUUGUGCCUGUGACUAUCACGCCAGAAUAG